rnacentral:rRNA from 1 species
UACGAAGGGGGCUAGCGUUGCUCGGAAUCACUGGGCGUAAAGGGUGCGUAGGCGGGUCUUUAAGUCAGGGGUGAAAUCCUGGAGCUCAACUCCAGAACUGCCUUUGAUACUGAAGAUCUUGAGUUCGGGAGAGGGAUGCGGAAUUCCAGGUGUAGCGGUGAAAUGCGUAGAUAUCUGGAGGAACACCGGUGGCGAAGGCGGCAUCCUGGACCGGUAUUGACGCUGAGGCGCGAAAGCCAGGGGAGCAAACGGG